AUUGAACGCUGGCGGCAGGCCUAACACAUGCAAGUCGAACGAGUGGCGGACGGGUGAGUAAUGUAUGGGAAACUGCCUGAUGGAGGGGGAUAACUACUGGAAACGGUAGCUAAUACCGCAUACCAUCAGAGGUGCCCAGAUGGGAUUAGCUUGUUGGUGGGGUAACGGCUCACCAAGGCGACGAUCCCUAGCUGGCUUGGGAGGAUGACCAGCCACACUGGAACUGAGACACGGUCCAGACUCCUACGGGAGGCAGCAGUGGGGAAUUUUGCACAAUGGGCGCAAGCCUGAUUCAGCCAUGCCGCGUGUAUGAAGAAGGCCUUCGGGUGGUAAAGUACUUUCGGCGGGGAGGCGUUACCCGCAGAAGAAGCACCGGCUAACUCCGUGCCAGCCGCCGCGGUAAUAC
rnacentral:rRNA from 1 species